UCUUGUUCCCCUUCUCCUUCCGUAUCGGAUAAACCCGCUUCCAAUGGUCUCUAGAUCCACACUUGAAGCACUCUUUAUUGUCCUUGAAUUUAGAAUUCCUCACAUUGCCUUUCUUGCCCUUACACUGUCUUGUGUGACCUCGCUCUAUGGUCCAUGUUACUAGACCCCCAUCUUGAGAGCUAUCUCCAGAAUUUUGAGCCAAUCCAUGAUGCACCAAGUCUUGCACCACUUCCUUAAAAUUGAGAGUACUCUUGCCAAUUAUCAGCAUCUUCUGUAAGUGUUCAUAGGAUAGACGCAAUGAUGUCAACAACAUCAACGCCUCAUCCUCCGUGCUAUAAACAAUGUCCACCUUGUGCAAGGCCGCAAUUCACCUAUUAAAGGUGUUAAGAUGUUCUGUGACAUUUUCACCAUCCUCUAUUCGAAUAUUUAGGAGCUCCUCUUUCAUGAAGAGUUUUUUUUAAGGGAACUUCCCUAAAAACAUCCAUUUGAGCUUUUCCCAUGUUUGCUUUGCAGUGUCUUCCUUAACCUUGAUGGACCUCCUAGCAAACUCGCUAAGCACGUCUCUCUCCUCUGUUAUCAUCUUCGCCUGCUAAGAUAACGGUUGGACCUUGCUAGGCAAGCUCAUAUUUCAUUCUCCUUUGCCAUAGUGUGAAGUUCUUCAUCCUUAUGAACACAUUCACCUCGAGCUUCAUGUUGUCCAUUUGUGGUGUAGUUGUUUGGGACCCUUUUCCCACCGCCUGCUUGUUAUCGGUCAUCAUUAGUACUUACAAACACUCUUAAAACUAUAAGAGCCUACCACGAACCUUGGCUCUAAUACCACUUGUUGUGUGGAAACACUCCAAGACUUUGUUAUUGAUGGACUAUGCAAUGGCACACACACAAACCCUUUGAGAAUAAAACACAAACACCAUGAAGAGAGUAAAACAAUCGCAUAAGAAUACAAUGAUUUAUAGAGGUUCGGCCUCAUGCCUGCAUCCUCUUUGGUGAUCCCCUCGAGAAAUUUCAUUAGAAGAAUAGGAACAACUUUAGUUACAACAAGAACCCCCUUAGAUCUCUAUCCUCUACAACUCUGGGUCUUAAUUUCUCUCACACCCUUACUCAAAUCCUUUGAUGCCCUUGUAAACACUCAAGAAUUUAUCCGUCUUGAAUUAUGUCUUAUGUUUCUCUCUCUUACUUUUAACCUAGCCCUAAAAUCCUAUUUAUAACUCAUAGGACCUGGGUUACAAGUUAACCAAGAAUAUGAAACCAAAACCCUAUUAAAUUGAACCUUGAAACCCCAAUAAAAUAUGAAAUAAUGUCAAAUUAUGCCAAACCGGCAAAACAACGCCCGACCCUAAUCAAGUGACGAUCGGUCGCUUUGGAGCAAAAAAUCAUCCCGAGCUCUCGGCCAAAAGCAAUUGGUCGCUUGGCCAACAGUGACCUGUGGCCUGCAACCAUAUCAUCCUCUUGCAACUUCUUCUCCUCUUCCCACUGCUCCUCUUUGCCGCCCUUGGUUCCUCCUCCUCCUCUGCCAAACUUCAUCCCCCAUCACCCAACUCGAAUUUCUUCCCUUCCAAACACAAACUUAUCAUCUCACAUCACCGAGUUGUCAAAAAUCCAAAGAAAAUGUUAGAAGUGUCCUUAUCAAAUCUGGUUAUUAUUUCCAUUCACAUUGCAACCCUCUUCCCUGGCUAAACUCUCCACUCCCACCUAACAAUUUGCAGCCCCACCCACUUCUAUAGUAAACUUUAAAUAAGAAAAAAAUAAACAAUAACAGAUAUCUCCAAUCUUCAUUAAUCAUUAUCAAUGUAACAUUAUCAACAACAAAAAAAUAAAACUUAUGCAAGCUUCCUCAACCAUUAUUCCGAAUAUUGGCAGAAGUAUAUACAAAGGUGAAUAGUAAGUUUGGGUCUAGAAGGGGAGAUUUUUGAGUUGGUUGAGGGCUUGGGUAGGGGGGUUAAGGUGGGUAGUGGAGGCUGGGGCACAUGGGAGGUGGAUUGUGGCUGGAAUGAGUGGUUGGUCAAGUGAGAUGGUGAGUUUGGAUUUGGAAGGGGAGAUGGUUGACUUGGGUGAGGGGUUUAGCUAUGGAGGGGGAGGCGGCUAGGGAGUUGGAGGCGGAAGGGGGUAGGAGUUUGGCUUACGAUGGAGGAGGUGGUGAAUUUUUUUGCUUUUUCUUUUUUCUUUUUUUAAAUGAUUUACAUAUGUAUUUUUAUUUAAAUCCACAUGACGUCAUAUCAUUGGAUAUGUGAGGAGCACAUGUGUGCUACAUCAUCAAUAUAACAGACUUUUGCACGGAACAUGACAGCAAAGACUACUUAUGAGCACACAUAUGGACCUUGGGGACUGCAAAUGACAAAAUAUAUAUAUAUAUAUAUAAAGGACACAAUUUGGUAGUUUUGUGAACCUCAGGGACGUUUUGAGAUAAAAAUCUUAACUCAAUGCCUUCAAAGCAAGAUAUUUCUCCUCAAAUAUGUAACGCAUGGUUGGCUGUCUUUGCAUGGCUAGUUAUAACUGUUCCUAACUUUCGCCAACUUUAACUCCCGAUGCCAAUAAAAUUAGAUAAUCCUCGUGUGUGCAACCUGUGCUUGACUAUCUUUACAUGGCAAGCAGCUGUAGCUAGCACUUCUCAACUUUAACUCUAGAUAUUUUAACAACCAGAUAUUUCCUAUAUAUCUAACGUGUGAUUGGUUCUCUUUCCAUGGAUAGCACAUGUUUCUUGUUGUAUCAACUUUAUCUCCCGAUUACUUACUAGAUAUUCCUCAUACGUGUAACCCGUGGUUAUCCAUCUCUGUAUGGCAUAAAAACUAGGGGCAAUGCAAGGGACACCAAAUUUGAGUGUCAAAUGACGUGGCAUGUGCCACAUGGAUUUAAUUAAUUAAAAAAUCCUUAACUAUUUUUUUCAAAAGAAAAAAUAAUAGUAAAGGGUUUACCCAACCCUAACGCCACUAAUUUCACACCACUACACCAUCCCUACCAAUCUCACUCCACCACUGUACAACAUUAUCCCUUGGCCUUUCCAAAGCACUGCCAUCACUUGGCUUCGCUAGAUGUUCCACCAUAUAACCAUCGAUCUCAUAUUUUUACUGUUAUAUGUUUAUAAUUUUGUUCUCUAACAUGUUCAUGUUCAAGAUACAUACUUUAAUUUAGUGACUCAAGAAAGCACAGUCCUUUAGUUUUCUAAACCCGUAUAAAGAGAUAUGAAAACCUAUGGAUUAACAAUCUUAGGAAGAGAACAUGACUUAUAUAUCCAGACGAAACCCGCACCACCAGAAAACUAGAAUAAUCAUACCCGCCUCCAUGCCCAAACUCAAUUCUCUCUUCCCAAAACAUAUUUUCUUGUUUCAGACUAGUUCUAUUUGCUCAAACUCAAAGCCAAGGCCAAAUCAACCAUAUUCAUGGUCAAUUCCAACAAAUUAAUGUUGUACAAGUUUCUGGGCAUACAUGAAUUCAAAUCCAUAACCAAAAUCAAGCAUAUGCCUCGAGUAUGACCGGAUGUGUCGCCACAUGGCAGCGUUGUAAGACGGCCAAUAUGGUAGUGUUAUACGGUGGCAGUGAUGCGGGAUAAAUUUUGUGACUUUUGAAAUUUAGGUUAACACUAUAUUAUUUUAUAUUAAUAUUAAUUAAAGAAAAAUUUGAGGAUUUUUUUAGCUAAGCAAGUCGUGUUGGUUAAUAUUAAAUGACCCACAUUUUUUGGUACUCAAAUUUAUUUAAAUUUUUGUUGGAAAGAUGCUUUAUUAUAGAAACAUCAUAUUAAUGUACAAAUGAUAGGAUGAAAAUAUCCGAAGAGUCAGGAACAAGAGUGUGAUCUUAAAAAAGACUUGUGGCCUGAACCAAUCAUGAGGAAACAAAGAAAAAACAAACUGGAGCUACGCAAUGUCAGAAUACAAUUCAACAUAAAUUAGAACUCGGUGAUACAACAAGUGUGGUCUCAUUAAAACCUUGCCUUAAAAAACCCCAAAUAAAGGAAAAUCCGGCCAAGUAAAAAAAGUACAACUAUCACAACCAACUAAAACACAAGUCUUAAACUGCCACUCUAAUUCCUUGGCAAGUUCAUCUACAAAAGGACCAUUCAUCCAAAGUGCAGCACUCCACAAUGUCAAAACUACUCCAACUGGUGAAAAACAUGGGCAAGCACAAGUUAAAACCUACUGAACUCAGAUUAAUGGAGAAAAGCUUCCUAACCUAGAACACCAACAAGGAAACACUGAAAAAAAAAAAACAUUAAUCACAAAACUUGAAUAAGAAGUAGAAAAAUAACAUAAGGAAAGAUAAUGGCAGAAAAAACAAUUAAGGAAGAAAAAUAAGAAACCACUCCUUGAGUGACCUGUAGAACAUUUGUAUUUGUAUUUGUAUUUAUUUAUUAUUUUUUACACAGUUGGGAACCGCUUCUAAAUGCUGCCUUUAGGAACCUGAAAACCAAUAUAACCGCUAGGAACUGCGUCGAAUUGCUCAAACAUUGAACCACCACACUUGGCUAUGUAAGAUUCGGUUGUGUCUUAACUCACUAAGUGUGGUCUGAUGAUCAGAUUGAAGUUUUAGAGUUUGACAUGGAUUAGGAGUUUUGGAACCGAUCAUACCUGCUACUCUAAUAAGGAAAAGUGUUUAAAGUUAAUCACUAGAGUUAGAAGAUAUCCUAUCUCAUUCUAGAUUGGGCGACCUAAAGCUAAUACAGUUGUGAGAGCUAGAGAUUUUCUUGAUGUGCAAAACUCUCUAGCCGAUGCAUAUAAAUAGAGCCCCUUGCUCAUUCGAUCAAUCCAUCACAAACAUAGCAUUCAUACCCCAUCUGGAAUUACAGUGAUGAAAGGAUCGAAUUGAGUAGAAGGUUUCUAUUCAAAGUCGGACUAGUUUUCCCAGAUAAUUCUUAUUGCCAAUCCAGGUAUGUAGGAGUUUAUAUUUUUUAUGUAUGCAGUCAACCUAGUUACAUGUGGUAUCUGAGCGAUGUCUACAUAAUCUAGAAUCUAAAAGCAACCAAAUACCAAAAAUUAUAUAUCUAAAAUCAAUUGUACAAAGACUAGGAGUUAGAUCACAUUCAUAUUUGUGUUGUAUUUCAAGUUCUUUUCAAAUGCAUGUUUUAUAAAGAUCAAAGGCCAAUUUACAUGAGCUUUUGUAUUGAUUAAACAAGCCACAGCGGUUUAGUCAAUUAAAAACUCAUGCAUACAAAGCAAUUUUGGCUAGAUUUGCACUAUAAACUGUUGUAGUUUUGAUGCACCUUCUGUCCAUAGAUGUUGGUGUUUGAUUCUAUAGGAGUUUAUGGUGGCAUGAUGCAAGGGAUAUUACACAUGGAUUAAUGAAAUCUUAUUUCUAUCCACAGAUGUGAGGAGAUUAUUCGUACAGAAAAUUCAUUUGUGAUAAAACUUGGUGAUCACUAAAACAUGUUUGAUUUACUACCUACAAGUGUUAAUCAAUAAUGUACAGUUUUUAUGGGGACAGUUUUUGUUUGUGUACUUAUUUUUUAUCCGUUAAAAUCCUCCAGCUUUGAAAUUGCUAUGAAUUUGAGUUCCAUUGAAACCUUGAUUGGUACCAAUUACUAGAAAUGGAAAGCAAACAUGGAGAUAGCUCUAGGUUUCUUGGAUUGUGACAUGGCCUUGAGAGAAGAAGCUUCAGCAGUUACUAUGAAGAUAGCCUCUGCAGAAGAAAAAUCCUAUUAUGCAAAAUGGAAAUAGGCAAAUAGGAUGGCCAUACUCAUUAUGCUGAAAUCAAUGUCACCAUCAGUGAGAGGUGGAAUUGAAGUGAAGGACAAUGCUAAGGAUUUUCUUAAGUCAAUUGCACUCAAGUACAAGGAGUCUGAGAAAGCUAAGACAGGUUUUCUGAUGAAUCAACUCAUUGAGUUGAAAUAUGUAGGAGAUGAACAUGUAAGGAUGCACAUACUAAAAGUGAUCAAUAUAGGGAUGAAACUUAGGACAUUCAUUGAGUUGAAAUAUGGAGUCCAAGUUGAAGUGGAGUUCAUUGGAUUAGCUAGAAUCGAGUUAGAGUAUGGUUUCUUUUUGGAUUUAGUAGACGUAGUUUAUUUUCCUUCCAUGAGAAAGAACUUAGUUUCAGUUUCUAAGCUUGUUAAAGCUCAAUAUGAGGUCGUUGUCAAUGUUUCUGGUUUUUCUAUUUCAAGGAAUAAAAUUUCAAUUUAUUAUGGAACUGUUGUGGAUGGAAUGUUUCGUUUUAAUCUGAUCAAGGAAUCUAAUUUGUUUAUGAACACUGCAAGUAUUCAGCACAACACCCCUAAAACAAAUUCACCAAACCUUGUUUGUGUCUUAACUCACUAAGUAUGGUUUGAUGAUUGGAUUGAAGUUUUAGAGUUUGACAUGGAUUAGGAAUUUUGGAACCGAUCUUAUCUGCUACUGUAAUAAGGAGAAGCGUUUGAAGUUAAUCACUAGAGUUAGAAGAUAUCUUAUCUCAUUGUGGAUUGGGAGACCGAAGGCUAAUGCAAUUGUGAGAGCUAAAAAGCUUCUUGAUGGGCAAAACUCUCUAGCCGAUGCAUAUAAAUAGAGGCCCCUGCUCAUUCGAUCAAUCCAUCACAAACAAAGCAUUCAUACCUCAUCGAGAAUUACAGUGAAGAAAGGAUCGAAUUGAGUAGAAGGUUUCUGUUCAAAGUCAGACUAGUUUUUGGCUUCAUCAUCCCAGAUCAUUCCUAUGGCCGAUCCAGGUAUGUAGGAGUUUGUAUUCUUUAUGUAUGUAAUCGAUCUAGUUAACAUGUGGUAUUAGAGCUAUGUCUGCAUAAUCUAGAAUCUAAAAGCAACCAAAUACCAAAAGUUCUAUGUCUAAAAUCAACUGUACAAAGACUAGGAGUUAGAUCACUAUACAAAGAAUUUUUUUUGAAAACUUUCUCUCUUUUCUCUGCAACUAACGACACAGGGUCGAGUGGGUGUCGGUGGGGUGGGGAACUAGGGUUGGGAAAGAGAGAGAAAAGGAAUAGAGAUAGAGGAUGGGUUAGAACCUUACUUCAGAAGAAGGAGAAUCUGAAAGUAAGAAAGCACAUCUAAUCUCCCUCAUCACCCAAGCCUCGCACCCCAUUCCUUACCUCAAAAAUUGUUGCAGCCAUGGGCUUCAGCUUAACCCAAUUAUGAUCAUUUGGGUAUAUGGUAUUUGGGACUCAAAUUUGGUAUACAAAUUUGGUGUCCCUAGCAGUAUUCAAAAAGUAAUAUGCUUUAAGCCCACUUAGAAGAUCAAAUUGAGUUAAUGAUAUUUUUAUUAUAAAAUCAAAUAAAAAGGAGAAAACUGCUGAAAGACCCCCUGAAUUAAAAAAUCAGCCAAUUUAUCCCCUUGACUAAUUUAUAUUGACAAUUUCAUUCCUCCCAUUAGAUUUUGUGGGAUUUGAUCCAAUCUCCGAUCAGACCCAACAGUGUGACGCUCACUUGUGCAUUAUUUGGAGUGCAAUUUCGUGCUCCUAUGGCCCUUCCUUGUCCUCCAUGUUGUUCUCUUUUUCUCUCCGUGUUUCUCACUCUGAAAACAAAACCAACCCAACCAAAUUUCACCAUUAAAUGACAUAAACAAUGCCCUCCAGCUCCAACAAGUCACAAACUUCACUGCAACCCACUUUCUGAUCGGCCUCAAAUUUUCAUUCCCAUUUUUAUCAAAUAGAGCAAGACACAUAAACAAUUAACCACCGCUCCUCCCGCACAUGCACCCUCUCUCUCUAAAACAAAGUCAUAAUCGGACGAUCAAGAGCGAUACAGCCGCUGGUGAACCUUCUCGAGAGUGGAGGUUUUUGCGGGAAGAAGAACGCGUUGACAAUUUUGUAUUCGUUGUGCUCGGUGAAGGAGAACAAGAUUAGAGCCGUCCAAUCAUGAAUCAUGAAGCCAUUGGUGGAAUUGAUGGCAGAUUUCAGGUGGAACAUUGUGGGCAAGUCUGCUCCUGUCCUGAGCAUUCUCGUUUUAGUGCCUGAGGCUUGAAUGACGUUGGUUGAAGAAGGCGGAAUUUUGGUGCUAGUGGAAAUCAUAGAGGUGAGGUCAGAGAGGAGGUGAUAUUGCUUCAGAUUUGAGAGAACAGUGCGGCAACAUCACUAUCCAAUACCUCACCGGAACUCGACAUCGAAAACCUCAAAGCUCUCAAAGUCUCAGGCAAGGGAGCCAUGGGUCUGACCCUUCUACUGUUGCCCGUUCACACCGUGCUUGUGAUUCACCUUGGCUUUGGUCCAUCUUCUCAUCCCCUCUCCUCCCAAUCCCUUCCUUCUCUAUUGGGGUUGUUUACUAGUAUUUUGGCUGGAUUUUCCGCUUGUUUGCC
rnacentral:lncRNA from 1 species